CUCAGUGAUAGGUUAAUCUAUAAUUCAUUGGAAGAGAUUGUAUAAGGCUAUAAUCAGAUAAAUUUUAACCUCCAGUUGACAUGGAGAGGCAGAGUUAUGAAUAUGAAAUAUGGUGGAUUUAGCUAAUAAAAAAAUGGAAACUACACUACACCAUUUAUUAGCUGUGUGGUUAUGGCAAGCAAUUUACAUUUACUUGGGGGAAGCUCCUGUGUCUUAAAGGCAAUUCUAAAGAAUAUUAGUAUGAGUUAUUUUUUCUAAUGAUGAUAGGAAGCCGUAAGAGUAUUUUAAGCAAAAAUUACCCUAGUAUACAUAAAAUUCAGUCCCUUUCAUUCUUGUGCAUUCGCAACAAAGGGUCCGGCAUAAUGAAGUGAUUCUGGGAAAGCAAUGGUCAAAUAUGUUGGUGAUAACACAUAAAAAGAGAGUGCAACUCAUCUCACCUCAAAAGAGGAAAUGGAGAACAGUGACUGACUUGUGUGGCCAGUGGUACACAAUUAUGGCACAGUGGGAAGAAAGUAGCAGCAUGUGAGGGCAAUAAAAGAUGCUGCAUACCAAUUCAGUUCCCAAUGAUGUGGAAUGUGGGAUGUCAUACCGAAAACGUCUCCCAGGGGCACCUUGGUGGCUCAAUCUAUUAAGUGGCUGCCUUCAGCUCAGAGUCAUGAUCCCAGAAUCCCUGGAUGGAGCCCUACAUCAGGCUUUCUGCUCAACAGGUGUCUGCUUCUCCCUCUCUCUCUGCCCCUCCUCCUGUUUGCCCUCUCUUUCUCUUUUUCUCAUUCUCUCUCUCAAAUCAAUGAAUAAAAUCUUUAAAAAAAAGAAAAGAAAAAAGAAAAUAUCUCUCAAAUCAAUGUCUUCAGCUUUGCUCUUUUUUGUGAGUUCUAGGUUUUUGUUUCUCUAUGGACAUGUUUCUUACUGAAUAUUUUGCUACCAUUUUAAACAUGGUAUUUAAAAAGUAUAAAAUGUUUAACCACAGGAUUGUUUUCUUGACUAUUUUAUCUAUAUUCCAAAGAAACUAUAUUUCUUGUGGUCAAAGAGGUUUGAAACCUUAGAGAUGUUUUUGUCCUCAGUGCUUUAUUUCUCUACCAAGUUCUAUUACUUUCCUUCUGUAAAAUUUCACAGGUUUGACUGUGA
rnacentral:lncRNA from 1 species